rnacentral:rRNA from 1 species
AAUGAACGCUGGCGGCAGGCCUAACACAUGCAAGUCGAACGGGAGGCGGACGGGCGAGUAAGUGCUGGGAACCUGCCUGACGGAGGGGGCAAACUAGGGGAAACGGUAGCAAAUACCGCCAACCACGCGUUGUGCCCAGAUGGGAUUAGCGUGUUGGUGGGGUAACGGCUCACCAAGGCGACGAUCCCUAGCUGGUCUGAGAGGAUGACCGGCCACACUGGAACGUAGACACGGUCCAGACUCCUACGGGAGGCAGCAGUGGGGAAGAUUGCACAAGGGGCGCAAGCCUGAUGCAGUCAUGCCGCGUGUGUGAAGAAGGUCUUCGGAUUGUAAAGUUCUUUUGGCUGGGAGGCGUUACCCGCCGAAGAAGCACCGGCUAACUCCGUGCCAGCAGCCGCGGUAAUUC